AGAGUUUGAUCCUGGCUCAGAUUGAACGCUGGCGGCAUGGCUAAAACAUGCAAGUCGAACGCGUGUAGCAAUACACGAGUGGCGAAAGGGCGAGGAAUAGAUUCCUACGUACCCCGGAGUCAGGGAUAACCAUCGGAAACGAUGGCUAACACCUGAUGAUCUCGAAAGAGCAAAGUUUACGCUCUGGGAGCGGGGAAUCUCCUAUCAGCUAGUUGGUGAGGUAACGGCUCACCAAGGCUAAGACGGGUAGCGGGUGUGAGAGCACGGCCCGCCGCAUCGGGACUGAGACACUGCCCGGACUCCUACGGGAGGCUGCAGUAACGAAUCUUCCGCAAUGCACGAAAGUGUGACGGGGCAAUGCCGCGUGUGGGAUGAAGCCCCUCGGGGUGUAAACCACUGUCAGGGUCUAGGAACACAAUGACCAUACCCAAAGGAAGCACCGGCUAACUCUGUGCCAGCAGCCGCGGUAAUACAGAGGGUGCGAGCGUUAAUCGGAAUCACUGGGCUUAAAGGGUCCGUAGGCGGGACUGCAGGCGUCGAGUGAAAUACCACGGCUCAACCGUGGAACUGCUCGGCGAACCGCAGUUCUUGAGGCGAGUAGAGGCGAUCAGAACGAUAGGUGGAGCGGUGAAAUGCGUAGAUAUCUAUCGGAAUGCCGAAGGUGAAGACAGGUCGCUGGGCUCGUCCUGACGCUGAGGGACGAAAGCGUGGGGAGCAAACGGGAUUAGAUACCCCGGUAGUCCACGCCGUAAACAAUGCGCACUGGGUCGGAGAGGUUUGACGCCUUUCUGGCCGAAGCAAAAGUGUUAAGUGCGCCGCCUGGGGAGUACGGUCGCAAGGCUAAAACUCAAAGGAAUUGACGGGGGCUCACACAAGCGGUGGAGCAUGUGGCUUAAUUCGAAGCAACGCGAAGAACCUUAUCCCAGGCUUGACAUCCAGGUAUUAGUCCUAUGAAAGUAGGAUGACAGUCGCAAGACCGGAACUUGGACAGGUGCUGCAUGGCUGUCGUCAGCUCGUGCUGUGAAGUGUCGGGUUAAGUCCCUCAACGAGCGAAACCCCUAUCGUUAGUUGCUAACAGGUAAUGCUGAGGACUCUAGCGAGACUGCCGGUGUCAAACCGGAGGAAGGUGGGGAUGACGUCAAGUCCUCAUGGCCCUUAUGCCUGGGGCUGCACACGUGCUACAAUGGUGAAUACAGAACGAUGCAAGACCGCGAGGUGGAGCAAAUCGCUUAAAGUUCACCCCAGUUCAGAUAGGAGGCUGCAACCCGCCUCCUUGAAGUCGGAAUCGCUAGUAAUCGCGGAUCAGCUACGCCGCGGUGAAUAUGUUCCUGAGCCUUGUACACACCGCCCGUCAAGUCAUGGGAGCUGGCAGUGCCCGAAGCCGCGCAAAUUCAUGCGUGUCCACGGCAAGGCUGGUGACUGGGACUAAGUCGUAACAAGGUAGCCGUAGGGGAACCUGCGGCUG
rnacentral:rRNA from 1 species